UGGGCCGCACGCGCGGUACACUACUGCAUUCAACGAGCCUAUCCCUGACCGAGAGGUCCGGGUAAUCUUUGAAACUGCAACGUGAUGGGGAUAGAUUAAGCAAUUAUUAGUCUUCAACGAGGAAAGCCUAGUAAGCGCGAGUCAUCAGCUCGCGUUGAUUACGUCCCUGCCCUUUGUACACACCGCCCGUCGCUCCUACCGAUUGGGUGUGCUGGUGAAAUGUUAGGAUUGGUUUUAGUGGGUGGCAACACCGGCUCUUACUGAGAAUAUCAUUAAACCCUCCCACCUAGAGGAAGGAGAAGUCGUAACAAGGUUUCCGUAGGUGAACCUGCGGAAGGAUCAUUG
rnacentral:rRNA from 1 species